rnacentral:rRNA from 1 species
GAUGAACGCUGGCGGCGUGCCUAAUACAUGCAAGUCGAGCGAACAGACGAGGAGCUUGCUCCUCUGACGUUAGCGGCGGACGGGUGAGUAACACGUGGAUAACCUACCUAUAAGACUGGGAUAACUUCGGGAAACCGGAGCUAAUACCGGAUAAUAUAUUGAACCGCAUGGUUCAAUAGUGAAAGACGGUUUUGCUGUCACUUAUAGAUGGAUCCGGGCCGGAUUAGCUAGUUGGUAAGGUAACGGCUUACCAAGGCAACGAUGCGUAGCCGACCUGAGAGGGUGAUCGGCCACACUGGAACUGAGACACGGUCCAGACUCCUACGGGAGGCAGCAGUAGGGAAUCUUCCGCAAUGGGCGAAAGCCUGACGGAGCAACGCCGCGUGAGUGAUGAAGGUCUUCGGAUCGUAAAACUCUGUUAUUAGGGAAGAACAAAUGUGUAAGUAACUAUGCACGUCUUGACGGUACCUAAUCAGAAAGCCACGGCUAACUACGUG